rnacentral:rRNA from 1 species
GACGAACGCUGGCGGCGUGCUUAACACAUGCAAGUCGAACGGAAAGGCCCUGCUUUUGUGGGGUGCUCGAGUGGCGAACGGGUGAGUAACACGUGAGUAACCUGCCCUUGACUUUGGGAUAACUUCAGGAAACUGGGGCUAAUACCGGAUAGGAGCUCCUGCUGCAUGGUGGGGGUUGGAAAGUUUCGGCGGUUGGGGAUGGACUCGCGGCUUAUCAGCUUGUUGGUGGGGUAGUGGCUUACCAAGGCUUUGACGGGUAGCCGGCCUGAGAGGGUGACCGGCCACAUUGGGACUGAGGUACGGCCCCGACUCCUACGGGAGGCAGCAGUGGGGAAUCUUGCACAAUGGGCGGAAGCCUGAUGCAGCAACGCCGCGUGCGGGAUGACGGCCUUCAGGUUGUAAACCGCUUUCGCCUGUGACGAAGCGUGAGUGACGGUAAUGGGUAAAGAAGCACCGGCUAACUACGUG